AGAGUUUGAUCCUGGCUCAGAAUGAACGCUGGCGGCGUGCUUAACACAUGCAAGUCGUGCGCGAAGGUGGCUUCGGCCACCGGAGAGCGGCGAACGGGUGAGUAACACGUGGGUGAUCUGCCUGGAAGCGGGGGAUAACCUGGGGAAACUCGGGCUAAUACCGCAUACGUUCCUCGUGAUACGUCGUGAGGAAGAAAACCGGCCUCUGCUUGCAAGCUGGUGUUUCCAGAGGAGCCCGCGGCUGAUUAGCUAGUUGGUGAGGUAAUGGCUCACCAAGGCGACGAUCAGUAGCCGGCCUGAGAGGGUGAUCGGCCACACUGGGACUGAGACACGGCCCAGACUCCUACGGGAGGCAGCAGUGGGGAAUAUUGGACAAUGGGCGCAAGCCUGAUCCAGCAACGCCGCGUGGAGGACGAAGGCCUUCGGGUCGUAAACUCCUGUCAGGCGGGACGAAGGUGUGGGGGUAAAUAAUCCUUACACUUGACGGUACCGUCAGAGGAAGCCCCGGCUAACUCCGUGCCAGCAGCCGCGGUAAUACGGAGGGGGCGAGCGUUAUUCGGAAUUAUUGGGCGUAAAGGGCGCGUAGGCGGCUUGGCAAGUCAAAGGUGAAAUCCCUCGGCUCAACUGAGGAACUGCCUUUGAAACUGCCUGGCUUGAGGCCGGGAGGGGAGCGGAAUUCCCAGUGUAGCGGUGAAAUGCGUAGAUAUUGGGAGGAACACCAGUGGCGAAGGCGGCUACCUGGACCGGUUCUGACGCUGAUGCGCGAAAGCGUGGGUAGCAAACAGGAUUAGAUACCCUAGUAGUCC
rnacentral:rRNA from 1 species